GCUACAUCAUCUCAAGUUAGUCUUGCAAAUAGUUCCGAUGGGCCAGACUUAAUUGAUCCAAUUACUCCAUAUUGUUCUGAUGACACAGAAAGAAGAGAAUAUUCUAAUAAUUUUUCCUCAGUUGGAAAUGCACUUCCAGGAUUGCCCCAGUUGGAAUCUGAAAAGACACAGGAGACGUUUGAGAUGAAACUCUCUCUUGGAAAUGGAGAACCCUUGGCAAGCAAAGACAGGGUUGAGGAGGCUGCUCAUGAAACUUCACUUAUCAAUGUAGAGGCUGCCAACAGAACAACCAGAGGUAAAAAUUCAUAUGCACUAUCAAUUUUAAGGAGAGUGGAGAUGAAGUUAGAUGGUCGAGAUGUAGCUGAUAACAGG
rnacentral:misc_RNA from 1 species